GAUGAACGCUGGCGGCGUGCCUAAUACAUGCAAGUCGAGCGAACAGAUAAGGAGCUUGCUCCUUUGACGUUAGCGGCGGACGGGUGAGUAACACGUGGGUAACCUAUCUAUAAGACUGGAAUAACUCCGGGAAACCGGGGCUAAUGCCGGAUAACAUGUUGAACCGCAUGGUUCUACAGUGAAAGGCGGCUUUGCUGUCACUUAUAGAUGGACCCGGGCCGUAUUAGCUAGUUGGCGAGGUAACGGCUCAUCAAGGCAACGAUACGUAGACGACCUGCGAGGGUGGUCGUCCACACUGACACUGAGACAAGGUUCAGACUCCUACGGGAUGCAGCAGUAGGGAAUCUUCCGCAAUAGGCGAAAGCCUGACGGAGCAACGCCGCGGGAGUGCUGAAGGGCUUCGGAUCGUAAAACUCUGUUAUUAGGGAAGACCAAUUGCGUAAGUAACUGGGCGCGUCUUGACGGUGCCUAAUCAGAAGGCCACGGCUAGCUACGUG
rnacentral:rRNA from 1 species